rnacentral:lncRNA from 1 species
CAGGGGCGCCAUACCAGCCCUGUCAGCUCUUGGCCCACUAUCUUCCUGCCAGCUCCCUGGUGUGGCCUACCAUCUCGCCUCCACCUGGCCCCCUUCCCUCCAGCCUUGGCUCCCCUCUUCCUCUGGCUUCGCAUUCUGGCCCUGGCAGUGCCUGACCAAGCCCACCUCCAGCUCUCAGCACGCACCCUGCACUCACAUCUCUGAUGCCCGCCCUUCGCCCAGAAUGCCCUUCCCACUUUUCUCUACCAAGCAAACCCUUUCAGUUUCCUUUUAUGUCUUCAAGCAACUUCUCGUUCCCCCUUGGGCUGACAGCCUCUUUUCCAAACUUUCCUAGGCCCCUGUGCCUAGCUCUUGAGAGCUCAGAAGCAUUGAUGGCCCCACCGAACUGCCAGCUCCUCCAGGUGGGGGGUUGGGGAGGCCCUCGUCUUGCUCGUCCUUCCAUCCCCAGGCUUGGCCCAUUGCCUGGAUUUUUAGUAAAUGCCCGGGACAGUGCCCACAACUCCUCCACCAAGGCAGAUCUGGACUGGUGCCCCUGGAGGGAAGAGGAGUGCUCUAGGGAUGGGGAGAGCAGCAGUGCUGGGAAACCAUGGACCCAUGUCUCUGGGGCCUGGCCCCCCGACUCCACGAGGCAACUCCCCUCCGCCCCCUGACUCGCUCCCGUGCCCUUGGAGAGCCCAGGGCACUACCCACCUCUAGAGCUUCCUCAACUGCCACUCAGCCAGCAGCGGUUCUCCAAGCCCCCUGUACUUCACACCUUGGCCCCUCAUGCUCUGGCUCGGAUCUGCGAGGCGGCCUCCUCGUGCUUCGCGCCCUUCCAGGGGUUCCUUCCGCUCUGGGGGGAACCCGUCGAGUAAUCACUUCCGCCCGCGUGCGCAGGGCAUCCUGGGUAUGCAGCGGCACUGUGCAGACCGGCCGCAAAGUGCGUGGUGGGAGGGCAGGAGAUGCUCAGGCUAGCGAACCUUUUUUUUUUUUUUUUGGCUUUUGCCUUUUUUUGUCUUUUUUUGCUUUUUCUAGGCCGCUCCCGCGGCACAUGGAGGUUCCCAGGCCGGGUCCAGUUGGAGCUGUAGCGCCGGCCUACGCCAGAGCCACAGCAACGCGGGAUCCGAGCCGCGUCUGCGACCUACACCACAGCUCACGGCAACGCCGGAUCCUUAACCCACUGAGCAGGGCCAGGGAUGGAACCGCAACCUCAUGGUUCCUAGUUAGAUUCGUUAACCACUGAGCCACCAGGG